CAGCGCUGAAACACCGGUUCCCGUAAUAUCAUCGAAGUUAAGCAACGUCGAGCCUGGUUAGUACUUCGAUGGGUGACCGCUUGGGAGCAGCAGAUGCUGUAA